CUCUGUGCAAAGAAACAGUUUCCACCAGUCACCUCGGUCAAACCCAGGCCUUCCCCGCCUCUGACCGGGGAAAACAUUCCCAAGAAAAGCCAAGAUGGCCACUACGAAGUCGGCGCCGGAAAUCCCGCCCUCGUCCGCUCCGCAGUGAUGUCUACGAGUCCUCCUCUUGGCCCAUCCCGCAGCUGUUCGCGCAGAGCUUUGUGACUCCAGAGGCCCCAUCAAUAGGAACACCACCAAAUAUGGCUCCUUGACCUUGGACCUUCAAAAUUGAAGUCUACCCACUAAGGCUGGCUCUCUUGGUCUCUUCACUGCAGAGGUUGAGACCUUCACCUUCCCAUCAAAAGUCAGGUAUCACUAUCCACUGAAUCCCAUCUUCUUCCACCAGAAGCUGAGUUCCUUUGGGUCUCACCCUAGAGACAAUCUUAGGGACUGGCUGCAAGGGCAGGAUACAACUAGGACAAUUAGGCCCUCUUUGAGAGUGAGCUUUAUCUUUGGGACAGAGUCAUCAGCCUCCAAGUAUACAUGCCAGCAGUAUCUUGUCCUCAUUUUUGGCCUGGGGAACUCUUGGGAACAGAAAAGGUGUAGAAUUUCCCCAGGUGCCUCUGGAGUUUUCAGUGGCCUUGAAAAAUUGAAUCUUUGAGGAUUCAAAAUCAUUAUAUUGUGAUUUUGGUGCCUCCACAUCGCGAUUUCUUGUGGUGAUGGGGCAUGUGUUCCUUUGGGGUGGCAGGUGGGACUGGCAUGGCAACCAUGAUUGUGCUUG